rnacentral:ribozyme from 1 species
GUGAAAGGGUGCGGUAAGAGCGCACCGCUCGCUGGGCGACCAGCGAGGCACGGCAAGCCCCACCGCGUGCAAACUCAAGCAGCCCCCCCCGGAAGUGGCCCCGUCACGGCCGGGAACUACGGUCCGUAGUGGGGCGGGUAGAGCGCUUGAGCCCGUCGGCAACGACGGGCCUAGAGAAAUGGCCGUCUCGCCUUAGGGCGAAACAAAAUUCGGCUUACGGUCC